GAUGAACGCUGGCGGCGUGCCUAAUACAUGCAAGUCGAGCGAACGGACGAGAAGCUUGCUUUUCUGAUAUUAGCGGCGGACGGGUGAGUAACACGUGGAUAACCUACCUAUAAGACUGGGAUAACUUCGGGAAACCGGAGCUAAUACCGGAUAAUAUUUUGAACCGCAUGGUUCAAAAGUGAAAGACGGUCUUGCUGUCACUUAUAGAUGGAUCCGCGCUGCAUUGGCUAGUUGGUAAGGUAACGGCUUACCAAGGCAACGAUGCAUAGCCGACCUGAGAGGGUGAUCGGCCACACUGGAACUGAGACACGGUCCAGACUCCUACGGGAGGCAGCAGUAGGGAAUCUUCCGCAAUGGGCGAAAGCCUGACGGAGCAACGCCGCGUGAGUGAUGAAGGUCUUCGGAUCGUAAAACUCUGUUAUUAGGGAAGAACAUAUGUGUAAGUAACUGUGCACAUCUUGACGGUACCUAAUCAGAAAGCCACGGCUAACUACGUG
rnacentral:rRNA from 1 species